rnacentral:lncRNA from 1 species
UUACCUAACUGUUUUAAAUUGAAUAAGUGGUCCCAAUUAUGUACUAUCACAUUUUCUCACCCAAACAAAACAUUAAAUAAAAUAUAAAACAUGUAUGAUCAUGGUUCAAAGUCACACUAGUAGCCUAGGUAUCAAAAUAUUUUUUUGACCAUUACUCUAGUUAGGAGUUUUCAAAAACGGACGGUACUUAAACGAAUAGUCUUACCUGACUGUUUUAAAUUGAAUAAGUGGACCCAAUUAUGUACUAUCUCACUUUCUCACCCAAACAAAAUAUUAACUAAAAUAUAAAACAUGUAUGAUCAUGGUUCAAAGUCACAUUAGUAGCCUAGGUAUCAAAAUAUCUUUUUGACCAUUACUCUAGUUAGGAGUUUUCAAAAACGGACGGUACUUAAAUGAAUAGUCUUACC